rnacentral:lncRNA from 1 species
UAUAGGGAAAUCUUCACUGCCAAUGUUCUCUAGAUCCUCAGCACUACGCCCUGGCCAGCCCCGAAGUCGUGGAGCCCCCCUCCUGCCCUGGGCUGGCCACCUCUCUCACUGGAUGAGUGAUGUGCUCUGGCUCAAAGGCUGAGGGGGCAGGUGGAGGAUGCCUGCCGCGGAACGUGGGUGCUCCCUCCAUCAGAAUCUUCUCACUGGGAGAGGAUCUGCGGCCGUCACCUGCAGCCCCGGUCCUGGCAGAGCUUUUGGAGAAAAUGAUGCAGAGUCUUGCUAUGUUGCCCAGACUGAUCUUGGACCCCUGAUCUCAAGCGAUCCUCCCACCUUGGCCUUCCAAAGUGCUGGUAUUAUAGGCAUGAGCCACUACACUUGGACCCAAACAGGUCUUUGAGGAAUCACCACACUGUUUUCAACAAUGGCUGAACUAAUUCGCACUCCCACCAACAGUGUGUCUUCGCUGAAACAUGGGCACUCGUGGGAAGUGCUUUCUGUUCCCCAGGCUCAGAGACAGGUCUCCCUAUGGUGUUGCCCAGGCUGGUCUUGAACUCCUAGCCUCAAGUGAUCCUCCUGCUUCAGCCUGCCAAAGUGCUGGAUUACAGGUGUAAGCCACCUCUGGACAUCUUAUCUGUGAAAUUUUAGGCAUUGAUCAGUGCAGAAAGAACCAUGAACUGCAGGAUGUUCUCAGAGACUCUGACAUUAUGGCCCACAAGAAGCUGCCCACUCAGCUUCUAGUCAGUUAGGUGUGGACUUCAUCAAUCACAGAAUGAAGACUCAGACAGCCUCCCAGGAGGACACAAAGUCAGCCUCAGAGAGGCAUGGAGGUGUUAAAGAGGGAAGUGCCUGCUAGAAUUUCAGUGGGUUGGAUAUGCUCUUUAACGAUGCACAAAUCAUAGGUAUACAUUUUCUGACAAUUGGAAUCUAUUAUUACUCUUGAACCAGCUGUUCCCCAGGCUGUUUCCUGUAAUGGAAGGGAUACUUUGAGUUUAUAUCUUUUCAAUCCUACAUCCUCAGAAAUCUACACUGAUACUAAUAAAGGGACUCAUUUCUCCUAUAAGAACCCCUAUGCGAGAAAAGUAUGUUUGGGUAUUGCCUAAUGCACUCAUAAUAAAUAUACACAGCCAUAAAACAGAGUAAAAGUCCUGGUAAGCCUGUUAUUUGCAGUAAUUGUAGAUUGUGAGUGGACAUUUUAAAGAGAAGCUUACAAGUUAGUUGUACUUUCUGGUAGUAAUUACCUCCCACAACAUGACUCACUUCGGCAGUUUAAAUGCAAGAGUUGGGUGUCCCAAAAUCAACAGUUUUAUAAAUAAAUCUCUGAAUCAUGAACUGA